rnacentral:rRNA from 1 species
AUUGAACGCUGGCGGCAGGCCUAACACAUGCAAGUCGAGCGGAUGAAGGGAGCUUGCUCCUGGAUUCAGCGGCGGACGGGUGAGUAAUGCCUAGGAAUCUGCCUGGUAGUGGGGGAUAACGUCCGGAAACGGGCGCUAAUACCGCAUACGUCCUGAGGGAGAAAGUGGGGGAUCUUCGGACCUCACGCUAUCAGAUGAGCCUAGGUCGGAUUAGCUAGUUGGUGGGGUAAAGGCCUACCAAGGCGACGAUCCGUAACUGGUCUGAGAGGAUGAUCAGUCACACUGGAACUGAGACACGGUCCAGACUCCUACGGGAGGCAGCAGUGGGGAAUAUUGGACAAUGGGCGAAAGCCUGAUCCAGCCAUGCCGCGUGUGUGAAGAAGGUCUUCGGAUUGUAAAGCACUUUAAGUUGGGAGGAAGGGCAGUAAGUUAAUACCUUGCUGUUUUGGCGUUACCAACAGAAUAAGCACCGGCUAGCUUCGUG